rnacentral:SRP_RNA from 1 species
GCCAGGCGUGGUGGCUCACGCCUGUAAUCCCAGCACUUUGGGAGGCUGAGGUGGGUGGAUCAUCUGAGGUCAGGAAUUUGAGAGCAGCCUGGCCAACAUGGUGAAACCCCAUCUCUA